rnacentral:rRNA from 1 species
GCAAGUCGAGCGGAGUGAUGGUGCUUGCACUAUCACUUAGCGGCGGACGGGUGAGUAAUGCUUAGGAAUCUGCCUAUUAGUGGGGGACAACAUUUCGAAAGGAAUGCUAAUACCGCAUACGUCCUACGGGAGAAAGCAGGGGAUCUUCGGACCUUGCGCUAAUAGAUGAGCCUAAGUCGGAUUAGCUAGUUGGUGGGGUAAAGGCCUACCAAGGCGACGAUCUGUAGCGGGUCUGAGAGGAUGAUCCGCCACACUGGGACUGAGACACGGCCCAGACUCCUACGGGAGGCAGCAGUGGGGAAUAUUGGACAAUGGGCGCAAGCCUGAUCCAGCCAUGCCGCGUGUGUGAAGAAGGCCUUAUGGUUGUAAAGCACUUUAAGCGAGGAGGAGGCUACUGAAGUUAAUACCUUCAGAUAGUGGACGUUACUCGCAGAAUAAGCACCGGCUAACUCUGUGCCAGCAGCCGCGGUAAUACAGAGGGUGCAAGCGUUAAUCGGAUUUACUGGGCGUAAAGCGCGCGUAGGCGGCUAAUUAAGUCAAAUGUGAAAUCCCCGAGCUUAACUUGGGAAUUGCAUUCGAUACUGGUUAGCUAGAGUGUGGGAGAGGAUGGUAGAAUUCCAGGUGUAGCGGUGAAAUGCGUAGAGAUCUGGAGGAAUACCGAUGGCG